rnacentral:misc_RNA from 1 species
GUAUCAUCUUGCAACUUGCAAUGGCUGAUAGGAAGCAUUAUGCUAUUAUCAUAGUUCAACUUGACACGAAGCCAUGCAUAGCAUUUCAAUUUUUUUCAAAAAUGUCAACAGACUAUGCCACAAUGACACUAUUGAUUGAAUAGUUGAUGACUUGCAGAUUAUUCUAGGAAAGGGCACAUAUUCCAUCCUAGUUUUAGGUUGAUGACUUGCAGGUUAUCCUAGUGCAGAAAAGAUAGACUAGGAAGGAUUUAAAUCGAUUCUAUGUUUUGCCUCUCUAGUCUUUGCCUUUCUAAGCUCCUCCACUAUCUUUUUUGUAUUAAUACCAUGCACGCGAC